rnacentral:rRNA from 1 species
GAUGAACGCUGGCGGCGUGCCUAAUACAUGCAAGUCGAGCGAACAGACGAGGAGCUUGCUCCUCUGACGUUAGCGGCGGACGGGUGAGUAACACGUGGAUAACCUACCUAUAAGACUGGGAUAACUUCGGGAGACCGGAGCUAAUACCGGAUAAUAUAUUGAACCGCAUGGUUCAAUAGUGAAAGACGGUUUUGCUGUCACUUAUAGAUGGAUCCGCGCCGCAUUAGCUAGUUGGUAAGGUAACGGCUUACCAAGGCAACGAUGCGUAGCCGACCUGAGAGGGUGAUCGGCCACCCUGGAACUGAGACAGGGUCCAGACUCCUACGGGAGGCAGCAGUAGGGAAUCUUCCGCGAUGGGCGAAAGCCUGACGGAGCAACGCCGCGUGAGUGAUGAAGGUCUUCGGAUCGUAAAACGCUGUUAUUAGGGAAGAACAAAUGUGUAAGUAACUAUGCACGUCUUGACGGUACCUAAUCAGAAAGCCACGGCUAACUACGUG